GCUCCUCAUCCCCUAACCCUAGCCCAUUCUCCACGCCGCCGCUGCCGCCUCCCGUCCCCUGGCGCCGCCACCAUGCCCACUCGCCGUCGCGCCGUCGCGCCUUCCCCUCCUCCUCGCCGUCUCGCUGCUCAGCAGGCAGGCCGACCGGGCGUCUCCCCCGCGACCCACAUCCCCACUUGCCACCGCCGCCGGCUCCUCUCCUCUCCCUCCCGCGCCUCGUCUGCCUCCCUCUCCCUCGUCUCCUCUCCCGCACUGCUAGCCCCUUCUCGCUGCUUGCCCCUGCCGUCUCUCUCCUCCCCCGCGCCGCCAACCCCAGAUCUAGAGGAAGACGAGAGAGGCGGGAUCCGCUUCUUCCCCUAGCGCCGUCCCCGGCCUCCUCCCCUGGACACAGCGAGCGUGAGCGGUAGCGCGAGGAGCAAGGCUGGUGACUGGCCACUGCCGUUCCAGGGCAUCCCCGGCGUCGGUGUCGUCGUCCUCGCGUGCACCUGCAUCGCCAUUGACGAGAGGGGCAGGAACCACCAGCCACUCCUCUGGCUGCCAACCCUUCUCCCUCGCCCUCAGCCUCGACGCCGCCGGGAACAGGGAAGUCAUCGGCGACGACGCCGGCAAGGCCGCACUGCCAACCGACUGCGUGCGCUGCCUACCACGACCAGUAAGUUCUAGAGACAGAAAGAGAGAGAUGGAGUGAGAAGAAGAUACAGUGAGGGAGGAGGGAUGCCAUUGUACUAAUUGUGGAUGACCUACAGGUCCAUCUCUCCUCUCUCUCAGUUUUCAAGCUCAAUUCCCCAUUGUUUUGCAGAGUGGACAUUGCCUGAAAGCCACUUGACAGAAAUCCAGUGUCUUGUGACAUGCUAAUGCCACAAUAUUUAGAUGCAUGUAGCAGAUCUUUUUAUUUUCAUUGAAAUGUUUACCUCUGAUAUUGAGCAUAGUGCAUUAGUUUAUGAAUCAGCAUUGUAGAAUGCAAUCAUUUUGAUGUUGUUCAGAAUGAGAAGGCUUUCGUGAAGCGGCCAAAGAUCUUCCUUUGCUAAAAGAAAGCUGACUAGGUCUUCCUGGCAAGGCAGCUAAUCACAUGACGAGUUUGGAUGAUGAUGAUAGUCGUUUAAUUUUACUGCCUGCUUGGUAUUUGUUUAUGCAUACGAACAACUCUGAUUAUGAUUGCUGCAUUGCAUAAGGUUGCUUCCUUCUGAUGAUAAAUGUCGAAUGACUAUGGUAGUUUUUUUUGGCUUCACUACAUAAGGUUGCCUGUGCCUGGCUCAGACCCAUAUGUGACUCCAAUAUCUUCCUUUCUGCUCCAUAAAAGGUUCUGGUAUGUCUCAAUUCAUUCUCAGGGCAUUCAUGUCUGGUUUGUGAGGUCUGCUAAGUUUAACUCUUGCACUGCAAGAUAGGUUUCCAUCAAUUAUUACUUUUGAAUGACAACAAGUUCAGAAAUUGUUGCUCUGUAGUGAUAGUACUCUUAGAUUAUUUUAGUCUUAUUGGUUUGGAUGCUGGAAAUAUUUGUUUGUGUAAAUAAUGGUGCCUCACAACAUUUGGAUUUUAAAUUCUUAGAUUGUUUGCUAUGAUAAGGAAGUAGUCAUGUAUACAUAUACUAAUGUAGCAGUUUACCUUACUGCUUUCGGGCCAGUCGGGGGAGCUCAUGGCAGGGUCAGCAGCUUCAACUGCACCAAUGCAACUGUAUGUCUCUUUAGAAUAUGUACUCAGCUCAAAAUAAAAAUCUCAAGUGUAUAUGUUCUUGAGACAUGACAUACAUGAACACUCACAUGAUGGCUGCAAUCCCAUUAUUAACCACAUGCUUCUAUUUCUCUCUGAAUUCGUAUUUUAAACAUGGUGAAUUUCUGGGAAUGUGGUUUCAUGUAUAUCUAUGAAUACAUACAUGGUCAAUAAGUUUGCUUGGUAAAACAUAAGAAUUCAGGUUCACAUAAGCACCCACUUUUAUGUUGGCUACAUAUUAGUUACACUAAUGCACUACUCGAGCUUUGCUUUCCUUGUAUGGAAGUUUCAUCCGUUAACUCUGUUUCUUUUUACUCCAUUUUGUUCCUACAGGUCAUAAACCAUCCCCUUCCUGCCAUCAAUACCCUGGGCAUUGUUUGUACAGAAGUACCCAGUGCUACCUUAUUCAUAUUUAAUUGUAGCUCAUCUUUUCCAUGAAUUUGUUAGUAGAAUUUAUGUUCUGUUGCGAAGUGGCAUAUAUAAUUUGAUAUUUCUCCAGGAAAGAUAUCAUGAAGUGUGUUUGUCAUUCUGUAUAUUAACCGAGGGAGGAUCCUGCUGCUAACUGGCCUAAGAAAAUCCCUUGUUAAAAAUAUUAGUAAUGGGAGUUUGUGGCGGGAGGGGUGUUAUUUUAACAUCGUUAGUAGUUCCAUUUUUGGUCUCCUGUGUUUGAAACCAUCUUUACCUGCAGCCCCCUGUUUGGUUUUUUAGAUGGACUUUUCUUACCUAACAAGGCGGUAGGAUAAUUAGAAACAUUCAUUCUCUAAUAUAACACAUAUAUAAAAAGUUUCUAUAUGGUUCAAGCUUGCCCGGAUCUUUAUUUUGGUACAAACCUUCCUGCAUUUCGAGGUUAUGAUAACUGUGAUGCCAUUUAAUCAUGUGAAUACUGCUCUGCCUUGCAUAAUUGCCUCAUAUACUAUUCCUAAUGAGUGAAUGCUUUUUCCAGCCGGUAGAAUUACUAAGUUCUAUUGGUUAAUCUUGGUAUCACCACUAUACCAGUUUUUCAUGUGCAUCACUAUCCUACCAGUUAGUGUAUUGCUUUGAUAUUGAUAAUUCCUUGUGUUUUUAUGCUCACAGCAAUACUCUUGGUCUAAAUUUAACUUUUACCAGGGUUCAGGUGGUAAGCACAUUGACAGGAUCGACGAUCGACAACCCGAUCUAUCUCACUGAUGUUGAAGGUAGAGGCCCAGAGGUUAAGAUUAUGUGCAGUGAACCAUGCCUUUGUGAGAGGACCCAGACAAGAGGACCGCAUGUCGAGUAUCCGCCCUAAAAGUGUGGAGUGCAUCCGCCGUAAACAGCUACAUUGGUCUCCACCCGUUCAAUGUUGCAUCACUCGGUUCGUUUGCUUGCUUCCUUUGCUCGGUUCAGGAGGCAGACAGGGAGAAGGUUAGGGCCAGUUACAAGAACCUCAGGGUCUUGCGUCAUGGCUGUAUCCAUGCAUGUGUUGAAAGCAUUGAGCUUAGUUUAUAUAUGUAGACGCAAUUUCCUUUUCGUGUAUAAGAUAAUUGGUUUAUAUAUAGACUAUCCAUGAUGGAAGUUGAAAUUACUGUGAUAAUUGAUUUA